rnacentral:ribozyme from 1 species
GAGUUGAUCUUGCUACGGUCGUCAGGUGCUUCAGACAAUGACGGACCUUGCCGAGGAGGCAAACAGUGCAACUGGUCAAAAAAUCCGCGAGCUUUAUUAUGACAUCUUGAACUGCAAGG